CUACGGGACGCACCAGUGGGGAAUAUUGGACAAUGGGGGAAACCCUGAUCCAGCAAUGCCGCGUGUGUGAAGAAGGCCUGCGGGUUGUAAAGCACUUUCGGUUGGGAGGACUGCUUCUAGCACUAAUAUUGUUGGAAGUUGACGUUACCUUCAGAAGAAGCACCGGCUAACUCCGUGCCAGCAGCCGCGGUAGUACGGAGGGUGCAAGCGUUAAUCGGAAUUACUGGGCGUAAAGCGCGCGUAGGCGGCUAGGUCAGUCGGGUGUGAAAGCCCCGGGCUUAACCUGGGAACUGCAUCCGAUACUGUCUAGCUUGAGUACAGGAGAGGAGAGUGGAAUUCCACAUGUAGCGGUGAAAUGCGUAGAUAUGUGGAGGAACACCAAUGGCGAAGGCAGCUCUCUGGCCUGAUACUGACGCUGAGGUGCGAAAGCGUGGGGAGCAAACAGGAUUAGAUACCCUCGUAGUC
rnacentral:rRNA from 1 species